GCUUACGGCCAUACCACCCUGAGAACGCCCGAUCUUGUCUGAUCUCGGAAGCUCAGCAGCGUCGGGCCUGGUUAGUACUUGGAUGGGAGACCGCCCGGGAAUACUAGGUGCUGUAAGCU
rnacentral:rRNA from 1 species